AUUGAACGCUGGCGGCAGGCCUAACACAUGCAAGUCGAACGAGUGGCGGACGGGUGAGUAAUGUCUGGGAAACUGCCUGAUGGAGGGGGAUAACUACUGGAAACGGUAGCUAAUACCGCAUACCAUCGGAUGUGCCCAGAUGGGAGUAGCUAUUAGGUGGGGUAAAGGCUCCCCUAGGCGACGAUCCCUAGCUGGUCUUAGAGGAUGUCCAGCCCCACGUGCACUGAGACACGGUCCAGACUCCUACGGGAGGCAGCAGUGGGGAAUAUUGCACAAUGGGCGCAAGCCUGAUGCAGCCAUUCCGCGUGUAUGAAUAAGGCCUUCGGGUUGUAAAGUACUUUCAGCGGGGAGGCGUUACCCGCAGAAGAAGCACCGGCUAACUCCGUGCCAGCAGCCGCGGUAAUUC
rnacentral:rRNA from 1 species